rnacentral:lncRNA from 1 species
CCUCUCUCUCAGUUUGGAAGAGAUUAAGAAAUACGUGUGUCUUGCGCUUUCUGGUUGAUUACAGAACAGCUUGACCCGAUAAAUGGAAAUUUUAAGGCGCUUACAGGGCCUGGAAAGAAACGCCAAAGCCAAUUUGAGCACAGAACAAAAAUACCAUCUGGGUUUCGGUGACAAUGAGUAACACCACUGGCUCUUCUGAGCUCAGACAAUUAUUCUAUAAAAAAACAUUUUUUAAGGCUGCAUGGUUAAAAUGGCAAAAGAUGUUUAAGGAUGAAUAAAGAGACAGAAAUAAUCCCACAGUCGUGCAUUCACACAGCCUGGUGCACGGAGGGGGGUGUUCAUCAUGUCUGGAAACAGAGGUUGAGCAUCGAGAAUGUCAUCGAGGACAUCGUCAACCUGUAAAGGUCAUCCUCCGUGUGAUCAGAGUUUAUGGCCGCCCCACGUACCCAGGAACUGAAGAAGCGAUGGCGGAGGAUGGAGAUGGAGGAAGUCCAUGAGCCAGUACCCUGGGCACUUCCUCAGAAUACUUGAGCUCUUACUCAAACCGUCAUGCAUCAAUGGGGGUGCCAGAGUCUUUUGUGCCCCACAUCUUAGUCUUCCCAGGAGAGUCCUUCCUGUCCUCAAACCACGUGGACUAGAAUUCACUGCCACCAUACAGCGUCUCAGCCUGCCUGUCAGUCAGCAUCCACCUCUGCCAGUUCUGGGACCUCUGCCUCCCCCAGUCCCUACCCAGGCCAGCCCUGGAAGAACAGAGGUUUCUCUCUUCAAAGCUAGAAGCCAUGGCCUAUGGCUGUGGGCUGAAGGAAAGAGCAGGAGACAGGCGUGUUGAAGAAGGAAGGCACAGGCCUUCUGGUUCUCUGUGGCGUGUGAGCAAGACGGGAGACGCGCACGUCCCUGCUCGUGGGGUUACCAUGACAGCUGACGUGGAUGGAGCCUUCAGAUGUACCCAGCACAGCCCCGAGCGCUUUCUCAUGUGCUGUUUCGUUUAAAAAUAAUCACCCACCGGUUAGACUCCUUCCCACGCAUAGAACCACGAAACCCGUGCACUUCACAUACUGGCUGGACACAGUCCUGGUUUCUCUGUUUCCCAGACCUGCCCAACACACACGCACACACGCACACACACACAUUUUUCUGCCCUAAUUCCUUUCCUCCCAUUCUUGAACCAAAUUGAAUGAGGCUGUCACCUCCAUCGCUCCCCCAAAACAAAUCUCAAGAUCACUAAUGAUGCCCCUGUUGCUUUACACAGUGCUCUAUUCUCAGUCGGCCUCUUUCUUGGCUCUGCAGCACUGGACACCAUGACUCACUCCUACCUUCUAGAAUGCUUUGGUUUAUCGACCACUCCUGGCCGAUAUGAUGCCUUUGUGUGAACUAGGAAAAGCUGCUGCUCUGGGCACGUGCAGCUCCAUGAGCAUCCAGCCCACAAGCAGAGCUAGAGCAGCCCCCUUCAGUCAGAACCUUUAUGCAGUGCACACACUGCACAACAGUACAGGGCAGUUCUGCAGGGCUACAGGCUGAGGAUGGGCCAUCUGAUAGGGAAGAGUCCAGAGGCACAGAACAGGGAACUCUGGCAGACUCCAGAAAAGGGGAGCGCGGAGAGAUUCCAGAAGACUCCAGGACUGUGGCCACCUGAGCGUUCAGACCUUCUGGAGGAGACCUUGUUUUGCUCUCCUUUUUGAUUUUCUCUUUAAGUCUGGUUUAUGGAGGCAAAAUUCAUCCGUUUUAGGUGUACAGCUCCGUUAGGGUUGACAACGCAGCCAGCCAUAUUGUCACCAUCAGCACCCAGAGAACAUACCCGUCACGCCAAAGAGGUCCCUCAUGUCCCUUUGCUGUCAAUCCCCUCCUGCAGCCUCAGGACCCCUGAUUUAUGGCCUAUAGUUUUGCCUUUACCAGAUGUCUGUAAGUAGAGUUAUACAGCGUGUCGCUUUUAGCGUCUGACUUCUUUAACUUGGCAUGUUGCUCCUGAGCUCCUCCACGUUCUUGUGUCAGGAAUUGUUUACUGCACAGUAGUAUUCCCUUGUGUGGACGUGGCACUUUCAUCCAAGCACCAGGUGAUGGCCAUUUGAGUUGUUCCCAGUUUGGGUGAUAAAGCUGCCAGAUGUUUUCUUUUCUCUUAGGUAAAUACCUAGGGGUGACCUUGCGGGGUCAUGGAGGAAAGGUAUGUGUGAGAAACCGCCCAGUUGUCUCCCAAAGUGUUUGCACCAUUUUCCAUUCCCACCAGCGAUGGGUGAGAAUUCCAGUUGCUCCGAAUCCUUGCUGACAUUUGAUGUUGUCAAUAUUUUUUUGUAUGUGUGUGAGGAAGACUGGCCCUGAGCCAGCAUCAGUGCCCAUCUUCCUCUAUUUUGUAUGUGGAAUUCCACCACAGCGUGGCUUGAUGAGCGAUGUAUAGGUCCAUGCCUGGGAUCAGAACCUGUGAACCCUGGGCUGCCAAAGCAGCGCACGGGAACUUAACCACUAUGCCACGGGGCUGGCCCCUGUUGUAUUUUUAAUUUUAGCCAUUCUCCUAAGUGUGUAGUGACAUCUCAUUAUCAUUUUAAUUUUCAUUUCCCCAGUGGCUAAUGAUGUGGAGCAUCUUUUGGUGCUUAUUUGGGGCCUGUAUCUCUUCUUUGGUGAAGUGUCUGCUCAGCCCAUUUUCAGAAAUGGAGGUGCUGCUCUUUCUUAUCCCAGCUGCUGAUGAGUCGGGGGAUGGGGCAUACGUGGGCAGCAUCUCAACAUGUGGGUUCUAACCCUUUUCCUUCAUGUCACCUCUGAUGAUGCCCUGGGGGAGCCCUGAGCUUCUGUAGGACACACGUGCCUCCCCGCCCCCCGAGAAGCCUUCUUUGGGUAAAAGACCCCAGUGCUGUGGGCGCGUGGAUCCGUUGUCAGGGAAAAAAAAUAAUAAGGAAAAACGCAAAGAUAAAUGAAGAAGGCAUGCCCUUGGUGACAACACAGGUUUACAGCAGCCGCAGCAAAGGCUGGGAGCCCCUUGCACGGUGCAUGGUUGCCACAUCUUAAAGUCUGAGAAACCCACGUAUCAUCGUCUUUAAUGGGUCUUUGCAGAUGUCAUCAAGUUACGAGAAGGCCAUGUGACGACGGGGCAGAGACUGGACAGAUGCAGCCACAAGCCAAGGGUUGCCAGAACCCACAGAAGCUGGAAGAGGCAGGAAGGACCCUCCCCUGGAGCCUUCAGAGGGAACACGGCCCUGCUGACACCUUGAUUUUGGACGUCUGGCCCCCAGAAUGGGCGGCUGCACCUCGAUGCCAGCGUGGGGGCUUCACUCUGCGCUGUCCUUGGACCCCCCCCUUCCCCAGAGGCUGAUGACCAUGGAGGGUCUUCUCCACCCCUAGAUGAGCCAGCUCCCAAUCCCAGAGCUCCAGGACCUGACUCCUGCUGGCUUAUCCGCCGCCCCACCAAGGCCCUAGAUGCCACCCGCCCAGGCCCCUCUCUGCUGCCCCCCUUUUGCAGUCUUCGACUUUGGCUCUCUUGUCCUCUGACCAUGUCUUGCCUCAAACCCAAGGCCUUCCCCACACCCAGGUGCAUCCACUGAUGGCGACGGGUGAAUGCCUAAGUCCACCACACGUCCCCGAUCUCCCAGGACACUCACAACUUCACGUAGUCUCCUCCAUUUUCACAAGUCACAUGUCCCAAGAAUUGCUGGUUUCAGCAUUCAAAGCGCCCCUCCUGGACUUCUGCCUGCUCUGGAGCGCUGCCCACGCAGACCGUGGCAGGACUCGGAACGGGUUUAGAGAGCACCAUAGGCAGAC